rnacentral:lncRNA from 1 species
UUAGGGCCUCAUCUCUCAUGCCAUUGGUGCCUAUGAAAUUGUAAUAUAUGGUCCAAAUUCAGGGCUAAAAAGAAAAGCACCAUUGCACUGAGGAAGGGAAAGGGAGGAGAGGUCACCAGCUGGAGCUGAGGCUGAGGGCGGGCUGAUGGUGUGGAGGGUUCAGUUCAAGAUACAGUGGGUUCUGUAGCCCCUCUCCAAAUGCACACCCCACCCCCUUACUCUGCUCCACUCACCCAUGUCUCACCGAUGACAUGUUUACUUAUCUCUGUCNNNNNNNNNNNNNNNNNNNNNNNNNNNNNNNNNNNNNNNCAGCCAGCUCCCUGCCAGUGGCUGUAACACUGGAGACUCAGCCUGAAGAACACCUCCAACAGGAGCAGCUCAGCCUGCGCCCAGUCCAGGCCAGGGGAUCCUAGUGAUGCUCGAGUACGGGAGGUGGAGGACCAGUUCCCCCCAUUGUCCUCGCCCCUCGGGUGGGAGACUGCUUCCCAGAGUCCUGUUGGAGGAGAGAACAGAUUGGCGAAGGGACCAGCUGGAAGUUACAGAGCUACCGGGGUGUCCAGGCAGGGACGAGUGCCCAGGACUUCUAACUCCUCAUCCACAUUCCUUCAAAGGAAGGAGGGAAACUCCAGCCCCAGGACUCACCAUGCCUAAGACCAGGGUGAUGCCCUUCUGAGCCCAAAUCCCCAUCCUACACGUCACUCCAGACCAUGCUUCGUGAAGGCCAACAUCUCCUCCGUCUUGUCGCUGCUGAUUCCCACAGACUGUUGGAUGAAUGCAUGAAGGAACAAAUGGACACACGUGGUCCGGUCUGUUCUUUAGAUCCUGUCCCUUCCUUGCUUGAAAUCUUGUGGGGGCUCCAUAUGGACACAGGAUGAAACCCAGGGUUUCAUUCUGGCAUUCAAAGCCUUUCACAACUGAUUCCAAGUGUAUGAAGUAUAAACACUGCUUACAUCCUACUAUGCUGGGCCUGUGACAAUGAUCCUGGAACUGGGCUUGGAGAGGAGAAGAGGUGAGCUGACUUGUCUUUUUCCCACUUCUCUCCUCCUUCCUUCUGCCCAGCUGGUUAGAACAUCUUAAGGUUCAGGCCCAGGGUCAAAAGCCCGGGUAGAGAGGGAAAGUCCAGAAUGAUGGGGAGAUCCCAUCUGGAAGAAGGCUGGCAGGAGUCCCAGGGAUCUGCAUGUGAGCCUCUAGUGGGCGCCGUGAACCUGGCUCCACUUCCCAGAUUGGGCCAGGAGGGGGCGGCAGUGUCCCUGGUUACAGGUACAAAAACCACCCCUAGCUUCUGAGUAUGAUGCAGCUGGGAACAUCUGAAUAUGUGAGCCAGGCGUGGAUGAGUGCAUGUGUUUGCAAGUGUGGAAGAUGGUCCAAGCAUGUGACUGAGUGCCCUGACUGAGAAUAUGUUUCAUGAGUGCAUUUAUUCAUUCAACUCUGUGGCUCAUUCACAAGUGUUUAUUAAGUGUCCACUCCUCCCCAAGCCCUGCUCAGAUGUCUAGGACACAGCAGUGAGCACAAUGAAUGUGGUCCCUGCCCUGAUGAAGCCAGAGCUGGGCAGAGAGGAGACAAGGAAAGAAGCAGGCCAACAAAUCAAUGAUGUCACAGGGUGGGAAAGAUAACCUCAGGCCAAGUGGGCAUAGAGCCCCUCUCCAAGGGAGUGACAUUGGAGCUGAAACUAGAAGGACCAGAAGGAAUCAGCCAAGCAAAGAAGUGGGAGAUCGUCCCUGGCAGGAGGAGUGACGAGGGUAAAGGGUUGACAGUGUCUGUAGUAAUCUGAGCUUGAAGAGGUUGAACUUUAUUCUAAGGAAAGGCCUCGGACUUUUUAAACUGGGGGUGAUGUGAUGUUGAUUUACAGUUUUAAAAACUCUCUGAUUCUUGAGUAGAAAAUGGUUGAAAACUGGACAGGUAGAUAGUGAGGAACCUCCUGCAAGGAUCCAGGCAUGAGCGGACAGGGGCUGCACCCUAGUGUGACUGUGGAGCUGGGGGGUCUAACGUGGAUCCCACGUUGUGGAGGCCACCUGACGGUGGGCGAGAAGAGAAAGCAAGGGCAUCCCUGGGCUCUGGGCCUGAACGGCUGGGCUUCUAAGUGGGAGCAGCUGUGUCAGGGGCUGCUUUGCAUUUUGCACGCAUGCAUGCUUAGUCACUCAGCUGUGUCCAACCCUUUGCAACCCCAUGGACUGUAGCCACCAGACUCCUCAGUCCAUAAAAUUCUCCAGGCAAGAAUACUGGAGUAGGUUUCUAUUUCC